rnacentral:rRNA from 1 species
AGUGAGUAACACGUAUCCAACCUGCCGUCUACUCUUGGACAGCCUUCUGAAAGGAAGAUUAAUACAAGAUGGCAUCAUGAGUUCACAUGUUCACAUGAUUAAAGGUAUUCCGGUAGACGAUGGGGAUGCGUUCCAUUAGAUAGUAGGCGGGGUAACGGCCCACCUAGUCUUCGAUGGAUAGGGGUUCUGAGAGGAAGGUCCCCCACAUUGGAACUGAGACACGGUCCAA